CCCCCCAAUGCAACUUGACCACUGUGUCCAGCCGAGACAAAUCAACAUCAGAAAGGCCUUAGCAACUCUACUACAGUGGAAGACCUAUUGACUUAAUAUUGGUUAAUCAGGUCUUAGUGUUUGCAACUUGAGCCCUUCAUAAGAGGUAAUCGAACAAUUGGCCAGGUAAGCAGGUGGGAGGCUCCCCUUACUCAAAGAGUAAGGUCCUAAUUAAGUAACCACCUUUCAUGCUUUCCUAGACACCAAUUAGAUCAAUUAAUCUAAUAUGACUUGCUCAUGUCGGUUCACUCUCGACUUGAUUGAGGAAGUUUUGAUUUAGGUCUCAAUUGGGUUUGCUACAUCACAUGUAAACCUAUCUACCCGACUCGCAUUCACAUCACAUGCAAACGGUACAUCACAGGCAAUUAUAAUCGCAGCAUCAAAUUAAAGCUAAACUUUAACUAGGUGAUGAUCAUGGAUUCCAAUUAGGUCGUAUUACAAGCACAUGCACAUCAAUCGAUCAAGUGGUCUUCAACUCUUGAAUUGGUUCCAAGCCUCCUUGAUUCGAUCCUUGAUCAACUCUUGAUCCCAUCGCCAUCAACCGCUUAGAUCACCUUUCAUCUCAUACCUUUGCUUCAACUUGAUCGUUGAUGUACAUCACAUCACAGAAAUACAACCAGAUGUAAAAUAAAAAUAAAAAUAAAUUACAUCUCCUUUUAGGAGGCACGCAGGCCUCUCAAAACAUCAAAUAAGAUGCAUGCAAGCAUCUGAAAAAUUACAUGACAUCGCAGAUC
rnacentral:lncRNA from 1 species